rnacentral:rRNA from 1 species
AACCUCCGCAAUGUGAGAAAUCGCGACGGGGGGAUCCCAAGUGCCAUUCUUAACGGGAUGGCUUUUCAUUAGUGUAAAGAGCCUUUGGAAUAAGGGCUGGGCAAGACCGGUGCCAGCCGCCGCGGUAACACCGGCAGCUCUAGUGGUAGCAGUUUUUAUUGGGCCUAAAGCGUCCGUAGCCGGUUUAAUAAGUCUCUGGUGAAAUCCUGUAGCUUAACUGUGGGAAUUGCUGGAGAUACUAUUAGACUUGAGACCGGGAGAGGUUAGAGGUACUCCCAGGGUAGAGGUGAAAUUCUGUAAUCCUGGGAGGACCGCCUGUUGCGAAGGCGUCUAACUGGAACGGUUCUGACGGUGAGGGACGAAAGGUUAGGGCGCGAACCGGAUUAGAUACCCGGGUAGUCCUAACUGUAAACGAUGCGGACUUGGUGUUGGGGUGGCUUUGAGCUGCUCCAGUGCCGAAGGGAAGCUGUUAAGUCCGCCGCCUGGGAAGUACGGUCGCAAGACUGAAACUUAAAGGAAGU